rnacentral:rRNA from 1 species
CCUACGGGUGGCAGCAGUGAGGAAUAUUGGUCAAUGGGCGCGAGCCUGCACCAGCCAAGUAGCGUGAAGGAUGACUGCCCUACGGGUUGUAAACUUCUUUUAUAAAGGAAUAAAGUGAGGCACGUGUGCCUUUUGUAUGUACUUUAUGAAUAAUGAUCGGCUAACUCCGUGCCAGCAGCCGCGGUAAUACGGAGGAUCCGAGCGUUAUCCGGAUUUAUUGGGUUUAAAGGGAGCGUAGAUGGGUUGUUAAGUCAGUUGUGAAAGUUUGCGGCUCAAACGUAAAAUUGCAAUUGAUACUGGCAGUCUUGAGUACAGUUGAGGUAGGCGGAAUUCGUGGUGUAGCGGUGAAAUGCUUAGAUAUCACGAAGAACUCCGAUUGCGAAGGCAGCUUACUAAACUGCCACUGACAUUGAUGCUCGAAAGUGUGGGUAUCAAACAGGAGUAGAUACCCGAGUAGUC